rnacentral:lncRNA from 1 species
GAGUGGAAUCUUUAGCUCCACAUGAAAGUCUGUGUUCCAUGUUAUAUACUUGCAAUUCCAGUACUGGGGAGGUGGAGACAAAAGGAUUCCUGAGGUUCAUUGAUGUCUUAGUUAGUGUUCUGUUGCUAUGAAGAGACACCAUGACCAUGGCAACUCUUAUAGAAGAAAGCAUAUCGAUUGCGGCUUGCAGAAGUUUAGUCCAUUAUCAUUGUGACAGAAAGCAUGGUGGUACCCAGUCAGACAUGGUACUAGAGAAAUAUUUGAGAGUUCUAUGCAGUCAUCAGGAAAAGAGAGACUCUGGGCUUGGAAUGGGUUGUUCAAAACCUCAGAGCCCACUUGCUAUGACACGCUUCCUCCAACCAGGCCACACCUUUGAAUCCUUUCAAAUAGUGCCACUCCCUGGUGAUCAAGUAUUCAUAUGUAUAAGCCUAUCAGGGCCAUUCUCAUUCAAACUUCUAUAACUGAUCAGUCAACCUAUCUCUGAAAGCCUUAGGUGUCUUCCAGUAAGAGACUCAGUCUCAAAAAAAAAAAAAAAAAA